CCCUUAGAUGUUCUGGGCCGCACGCGCGCUACACUGAUGAAUGCAACGAGCUCUACCCUUGACCGAAAGGCCCGGGUAAACUUGUGAAACUUCAUCGUGAUGGGGAUAGAUUAUUGCAAUUAUUAAUCUUCAACGAGGAAUUCCUAGUAAGCGCGAGUCAUCAGCUCGCGUUGAUUACGUCCCUGCCCUUUGUACACACCGCCCGUCGCUCCUACCGAUUGAAUGGUCCGGUGAAAUCUUCGGAUUGCUGACCAAGAUCCAGCAAUGGAGCUUGGUUGCGAGAAGUUGAUUAAACCUUAUUAUUUAGAGGAAGGAGAAGCCGUAACA
rnacentral:rRNA from 1 species